rnacentral:rRNA from 1 species
AUUGAACGCUGGCGGCAGGCCUAACACAUGCAAGUCGAACGGUAACAGGAAGCAGCUUGCUGCUUUGCUGACGAGUGGCGGACGGGUGAGUAAUGUCUGGGAAACUGCCUGAUGGAGGGGGAUAACUACUGGAAACGGUAGCUAAUACCGCAUAACGUCGCAAGACCAAAGAGGGGGACCUUCGGGCCUCUUGCCAUCGGAUGUGCCCAGAUGGGAUUAGCUAGUAGGUGGGGUAACGGCUCACCUAGGCGACGAUCCCUAGCUGGUCUGAGAGGAUGACCAGCCACACUGGAACUGAGACACGGUCCAGACUCCUACGGGAGGCAGCAGUGGGGAAUAUUGCACGAUGGGCGCAAGCCUGAUGCAGCCAUGCCGCGUGUAUGUAGAAGGCCUUCGGGUUGUAAAGUACUUUCAGCGGGGAGGAAGGGAGUAAAGUUAAUACCUUUGCUCAUUGACGUUACCCGCAGAAGAAGCACCGGCUAACUCCGUG